rnacentral:rRNA from 1 species
GAUGAACGCUGGCGGCGUGCUUAACACAUGCAAGUCGAACGAAGCAUUUAGGACAGAUUACUUCGGUUUGAAGUUCUUUAUGACUGAGUGGCGGACGGGUGAGUAACGCGUUGGUAACCUGCCUUGUACUGGGGGAUAGCAGCUGGAAACGGCUGGUAAUACCGCAUAAGCGCACAAUGUUGCAUGACAUGGUGUGAAAAACUCCGGUGGUAUAAGAUGGACCCGCGUCUGAUUAGCUAGUUGGUGAGAUAACAGCCCACCAAGGCGACGAUCAGUAGCCGACCUGAGAGACUGACCGGACACAUUGGGACUGAGACACGGCCCAGACUCCUACGGGAGGCAGCAGUGGGGAAUAUUGCAAAAUGGAGGAAACUCUGAUGCAGCGACGACGCGUGAGUGAAGAAGUAAUUCGUGAUGUAAAGCUCUAUCAGCAGGGAAGAUAGUGACGGUACCUGACGAAGAAGCUCCGGCUAAAUACGUG